AACGCAAAUUGCACUCCCUGGUAUUCCGGGGAGUAUGCCUGUUUGAGGGUCGUUAGAAUAAAAAUCGAGGCGUCGCUCUUUUUUUGAAGGGUGAUCGAGUCGGAAUUGAGCCGUCUUUCAAAUGUUAAUUCAUGUCAAAGUGGCUUAAAAUUCAUCCAUCCGGUACGAUUAAAGCGUAUUUAAGAUCAAUUUUGAUUAAGAACGCGCGAUGACGUACCAUCUCAUGUAGUACGUUUGACCUGUCGUCGUCAGGAUCAUUCGUAUACGAUACUCAACUUUUGACCUCAAAUCAGGUAAGAAUACCCGCUGAACUUAA
rnacentral:rRNA from 1 species